CUUCAUGUAGCUACAGUAGUUAUCUGUUAUCUGUAGGUGACUACACUAUCUUCAUGUAGCUACAGUAGUUAUCUGUAGGUGACUACACUACCUUCAUGUAGCUACAGUAGUUAUCUGUAGGUGACUCCACUACCUUCAUGUAGCUACAGUAGUUAUCUGUAGGUGACUACACUACCUUCAUGUAGCAUCAGUAGUUAUCUGUAGGUGACUACACUACCUUCAUGUGGCUACAGUAGUUAUCUGUAGGUGACUACACUACCUUCAUGUAGCUACAGUAGUUAUCUGUAGGUGACUACACUACCUUCAUGUAGCUACAGUAGUUAUCUGUAGGUGACUACACUACCUUCAUGUAGCUACAGUAGUUAUCUGUAGGUGACUACACUACCUUCAUGUAGCUACAGUAGUUAUCUGUUAUCUGUAGGUGACUACACUACCUUCAUGUAGCUACAGUAGUUAUCUGUAGGUGACUACACUACCUUCAUGUAGCUACAGUAGUUAUCUGUAGGUGACUACACUACCUUCAUGUAGCUACAGUAGUUAUCUGUAGGUGACUACACUACCUUCAUGUAGCUACAGUAGUUAUCUGUAGGUGACUACACUACCUUCAUGUAGCUACAGUAGUUAUCUGUAGGUGACUACACUACCUUCAUGUAGCUACAGUAGUUAUCUGUAGGUGACUACACUACCUUCAUGUAGCUACAGUAGUUAUCUGUAGGUGACUACACUACCUUCAUGUAGCUACAGUAGUUAUCUGUAGGUGACUACACCACCUUCAUGUAGCUACAGUAGUUAUAUGUAGGUGACUACACUACCUUCAAGUAGCUACAGUAGUUAUCUGUUAUCUGUAGGUGACUACACUACCUUCAUGUAGCUACAGUAGUUAUCUGUAGGUGACUACAGUACCUGUAUCAUAUGAAUCAUGUGACUACAGUAGUUAUCUGUAGGUGGCUACAGUAGCUUGUUCUACAGUAGUUAUCUGUAGGUGGCUACAGUAGCUUGUUCUACA